rnacentral:rRNA from 1 species
GAGUUUGAUCGUGGCUCAGAUUGAACGCUGGCGGCAGGCCUAACACAUGCAAGUCGAGCGGAUGAAGGGAGCUUGCUCCUGGAUUCAGCGGCGGACGGGUGAGUAAUGCCUAGGAAUCUGCCUGGGUAGUGGGGAGUAACGUCCGGAAACGGGCGCUAAUACCGCAUACGUCCUGAGGGAGAAAGUGGGGGAUCUUCGGACCUCACGCUAUCAGAUGAGCCUAGGUCGGAUUAGCUAGUUGGUGGGGUAAAGG